GACGAACGCUGGCGGCGUGCUUAACACAUGCAAGUCGAACGGAAAGGCCCUGCUUUUGUUGGGUUCACGAGUGGCGCACGGGUGAGUAACACGUGAGUAACCUCCCCUUGACUUUGGGAGAACUCCACGAAACUGCGGCUAAUACCGCAUAUGAGCUCCUGCUGCAUGGUGUGGGUUGGUAAGAUUCGGCGGUUGGGGAUGGACUCGCGGCUUAUCAGCUUGUUGGUGGGGUAGUGGCUUACCAAGGGUUUGACGGGUAGGCGGCCUGAGAGGGGGACCGGCGACAAGGGGACUGAGAGACGGAGCAGACUGCUACGGGAGGCAGCAGUCGAGAAUAUUGCACAACGGGCGGGAGCCUGAUGCAGCAACGCCGCGAGCGGGAUGACGGGCUACGGGGUGUAAACCGCUUUGGCAUGAGACGAAGCGUGAGUGACGGUAAUGGGUAAAGAAGCACCGGCUAACUACGUG
rnacentral:rRNA from 1 species